CACCCAUGAUUUUACAAGGUGCACAUGAAUGCACCAAUAAGCCCAGUCUGUGUUGUUUCUCCGACUCCGGCAUUGGCCGUGGUGUCUCAGAAAGUGCAUCUAGGCUACACUGUGUCUUUAGCU